GYGGAUAMUCUCAGAGAUGGAUUGGUGCCUUCGGGAACUCUGACACAGGUGCUGCAUGGCUGUCGUCAGCUCGUGSGUGAGAUGUUGGGUUAAGUCCCGUAACGAGCGCAACCCUUGUCCUUAGUURCCAGCACKUAAUGGUGGGAACUCUAAGGAAACUGCCGGUGACAAACCGGAGGAAGGGGGGGAUGACKUCAAGUCAUCWUGGCCCUUACAGUCUGGGCUACACACKUGCUACAAUGGUCGGUACAKAGGGUUGCCAAGCCGCGGAGUGGAGCUAAUCUCACAAAACCGAUCGUAGUCCGGAUCGAGKUCUGCAACUCGACUGCGUGAAGUCGGAAUCGCUAGUAAUCGCGAAUCARAAUGUCGCGGUGAAUACGUUCCCGGGUCUUGUACACACCG
rnacentral:rRNA from 1 species